GACGAACGCUGGCGGCGUGCUUAACACAUGCAAGUCGAACGGAAAGGCCCUGCUUUUGUGGGGUGCUCGAGUGGCGAACGGGUGAGUAACACGUGAGUAACCUGCCCUUGACUUUGGGAUAACUUCAGGAAACUGGGGCUAAUACCGGAUAGGAGCUCCUGCUGCAUGGUGGGGGUUGGAAAGUUUCGGCGGUUGGGGAUGGACUCGCGGCUUAUCAGCUUGUUGGUGGGGUAGUGGCUUACCAAGGCUUUGACGGGUAGCCGGCCUGAGAGGGUGACCGGCGACAUUGGGACUGAGAGACGGCCCAGACUCCAACGGGAGGCAGCAGUGGGGAAUAUUGCACAAUGGGCGGAAGCGUGAUGCAGCAACGCCGCGUGCGGGAUGACGGCCUUCGGGUUGUAAACCGCUGUCGCCUGUGACGAAGCGUGAGUGACGGUAAUGGGUAAAGAAGCACCGGCUAACUACGUG
rnacentral:rRNA from 1 species